rnacentral:rRNA from 1 species
AUUGAACGCUGGCGGCAGGCCUAACACAUGCAAGUCGAGCGAGCGGCGGAAGGGUGAGUAAUGUCUGGGAAACCGCCUGAUGGGGGGGGAUAACUACUGGAAACGGUAGCUAAGACCGAAUACCAUCAGAUGUGCCCAGUGGGGAGUGGCUAGGAGGUGGGGUAACGGCUCACCUAGGCGACGAUCCCUAGCCGGUCUGAGAGGAUGACCCGCGCCACGGGAACUGCGACACGGUCCAGACGCCUACGGGAGGGCGCAGUGGGGAAUAUGGCGAAAUGGUCGCAAGCCUGAUGCAGCCAUGCCGCGUGUGUGAAGAAGGCCUUCGGGUUGUAAAGCACGUUCUGCGGUGAGGCGUUACCCGCAGAAGAAGCACCGGCUAACUCCGUGCCAGCAGCCGCGGUAAUUC